UACGGGGGGGGGCAAGCGUUGUUCGGAAUUACUGGGCGUAAAGGGCUCGUAGGCGGCCAACUAAGUCGGAUGUGAAAAUCCCCCAGCUUAACCUGGGAACUGCAUCCGAUACUGGAUGGCUUGAAUCCGGGAGAGGGAUGCAGAAUUCCAGGUGUAGCGGUGAAAUGCGUAGAUAUCUGGAGGAAUACCGGUGGCGAAGGCGGCAUCCUGGACCGGCAUUGACGCUGAUGAGCGAAAAGCUAGGGGGAGCAAACGGGG
rnacentral:rRNA from 1 species